rnacentral:misc_RNA from 1 species
UUUGUAUGGGUGCUGCAUGGAGGGACACAAUAGGAAGGAAGACCAAUUUUAACCAGAUCCUAGAUUACGUGAAAGAAAUAAGGGAUAUGGGCAUGGAAGUUUGCUGUACUCUAGGCAUGCUAGAGAAACAACAGGCUCAAGAACUCAAGAAAGCCGGCCUUACUGCUUAUAAUCAUAACCUUGACACCUCGAGAGAAUAUUACCCGAACAUUAUCACAACAAGAACGUAUGAUGAACG